rnacentral:rRNA from 1 species
UACGUAGGGGGCAAGCGUUGUCCGGAAUUAUUGGGCGUAAAGAGCGCGUAGGCGGUCCGAUAAGUCGGCUGUGAAAGUCAAGGGCUCAACCCUUGAAAGCCGGCCGAUACUGUCGGACUAGAGUCCGGAAGAGGCGAGUGGAAUUCCCGGUGUAGCGGUGAAAUGCGCAGAUAUCAGGAGGAACACCGGUGGCGAAGGCGGAUCUCUGGGCCAUUACUGACGCUGAGGAGCGAAAGCGUGGGGAGCGAACAGG